GAACGCUAGCGGCAGGCUUAAUACAUGCAAGUCGAGGGGCAGCGCAGUGUAGCAAUACAGUGGGCGGCGACCGGCAAACGGGUGCGUAACACGUACGCAACCUUCCCGUUACUGUGGGAUAGCCCAGGGAAACUUGGAUUAAUACCACAUAUUGCCAUUGAGAGGCAUCUCUUGAUGGCCAAAGAAUUUCGGCGCUUAAUGAUGGGUGUGCGUAUGAUUAGAUAGUUGGCGAGGUAACGGCUCACCAAGUCUACGAUCAUUAGCUGAUGUGAGAGCAUGAUCAGCCACACGGGCACUGAGACACGGGCCCGACUCCUACGGGAGGCAGCAGUAAGGAAUAUUGGUCAAUGGACGCAAGUCUGAACCAGCCAUGCCGCGUGAAGGAUUAAGGUCCUCUGGAUUGUAAACUUCUUUUAUAUGGGACGAAAAAAGGUCUUUCUAGACCCCUUGACGGUACCAUAUGAAUAAGCACCGGCUAACUCCGUG
rnacentral:rRNA from 1 species